CUUUAUCCCAGUGAUGGAUGCUCUUUAUAUAGAGCUUUGGAGGUACGAGGUUUCUCACUCCUGAGCUGGCAAAGAUUCCAAAAAUCCAUUAGGAUCAAAUCCUUUCUAGAUUUUGGUGUGGUCCCAGGAAUGAAGGUGGUGAAAUCUGUUUCUGUUUUGUCCGUAGUGAAAUCUUCAGAAUCAAGUAUCCUGUGUUGAGUUUCUCAUUUACCGCUGUGAAAGAUCUACGUGUCGUGGUUUAUUUUCAUGGAGUUUGUCUACUAUUAUUUGGUCAAGAUUAUACGCACAAUAGUGAUGCUCCUACCUGACUUUAAUAUUCGUCCAUCAUGGUUUAUAGCACAAAACAGGACUUCAACAUAUGUAUCUGUUCUUGGAGACAAUGCCCAUAUUUGCUUGACAGAGUUAUGGCAAUUGCAGGGUUAAAACCAACUUAUAGGAUGCAUAGGUUCAGGUAAUUUUAAUGAUGUCCUCUAGAGGUGAUGUAUAUUACUGCAUACUGUUUACCCAAUCCUCCAUUCGUCCUCACUUUAAACUCUUUGUUGGGAUGUUCUCCUCUCAUUGUCACAACCAGGAAUAGCUUGAUGUUCAAAGUUUGAAAUCAUUUUGCCUUGAUCAUUCGGCUGCUACUUGAAUGUGGUGAGAUAUUUAGGCUUUUGAAAAACUCCAGGUUUCAUUCAUCUUCAGUCACAACUUGGCAAGGCACACCUUUCGAAUGACUUUGUGCAUUUUGGCGGACUCUUCCUUCAUAUUCGAUGUAAAAACUCCUUAUCGUGAUCCUGUAAGUCACCACCAAGCCAAUCUAAAUCCAGGUCAAGAAUAUCAUUUGGCGAUAUUUUCAGCUUACUCGACAGCUGUUUUGGAAAUGAUGAGUCUAUGCUCAAAGUGACAGAGGGAUUCUUUCUGGCUGGAAAUUUGGAAUUGUCGUGCAAAACUCUUGCCAUUUUUUGGAACGAUGAGUCACAUAUAUAGUUUGCCUUGUA